rnacentral:rRNA from 1 species
AUUGAACGCUGGCGGCAGGCCUAACACAUGCAAGUCGAGCGGAUGAAGGGAGCUUGCUCCUGGAUUCAGCGGCGGACGGGUGAGUAAUGCCUAGGAAUCUGCCUGGUAGUGGGGGAUAACGUCCGGAAACGGGCGCUAAUACCGCAUACGUCCUGAGGGAGAAAGUGGGGGAUCUUCGGACCUCACGCUAUCAGAUGAGCCUAGGUCGGAUUAGCUAGUUGGUGGGGUAAAGGCCUACCAAGGCGACGAUCCGUAACUGGUCUGAGAGGAUGAUCAGUCACACUGGAACUGAGACACGGUCCAGACCCCUACGGGAGGCAGCAGUGGGGAAUAUUGGACAAUGGGCGAAAGCCUGAUCCAGCCAUGCCGCAUGUGUGAAGAAGGUCUUCGGAUUGUAAAGCACUUUAAGUUGGGAGGAAGGGCAGUAAGUUAAUACCUUGCUGUUUUGACGUUACCAACAGAAUAAGCACCGGCUAACUUCGUG